UACAGAGGUCCCAAGCGUUGUUCGGAUUCACUGGGCGUAAAGGGUGCGUAGGUGGUGGAGUAAGUCUGAUGUGAAAGCUCCAAGCUUAACUUGGAAAUGGCAUUGGAAACUACUCCGCUUGAGGGUUGGAGGGGGGACUGGAAUACUUGGUGUAGCAGUGAAAUGCGUAGAUAUCAAGUGGAACACCAGUGGCGAAGGCGAGUCCCUGGACAACUCCUGACACUGAGGCACGAAAGCUAGGGGAGCAAACAGG
rnacentral:rRNA from 1 species